UACUAGAAAAUUCCACCAAAUCUUAUUUUUGUCAAUACUGUAAUUAUGUAAUUUAUUAAGCUUGCGAUAAAUGGUUUGACAAGAAGUGUUAGCCAUUGCAUUUUCACCAUCCACUCCCACUGUUAAGGUUCAAGUGUUGCAACGAGCAACACAAUUUGCUGCAACUUCCAACAAAAGCUGAUUUCAACAAAUGUUUUGUAUCCACUACUUUGGCGGGUUUUGGUGCAGGUAGUAAAAUGUGUAAUAUGGAGAGCCGCCACAGGGAUCAAGGCACUAUUUUUUUAUAAAUGUAGUCACCACGACUUGUAUACCAGCCCAAUUAUGGUGACGUAGGUUAUAAUAAAUAAACGCCUUGGCCCCUGUAAAGUAAGCUACUUUUGCAAGUUGCAGCGAUUUUAUUGCUCGUAUUCACGUUUACUGUAACGCAACGGAAUAUGUCAUCAUGUGGUGAAUAAGAAUUCAAACAUAAUUUACCUGUAUACAGCUAAUUCAAUUAACAUUGUCCUCUGAACCACAAAACUCUAAGCGCGAAAAGCACAAUGGGUGUGUUUAUAACGAGAUUGGUUAUGCGUGCAUGUCAGCACCAGUUGUUAUGUUAUGUACUAAUUUUAAGUAUAUGUCUUGUAUUUAUGCUAUUUAAAUGCUUAGAACUAUUUGUUCGUAGCAUUUUGCAAAACACAAUUUGCAAGCCCCAUCCAUACUUGAUUAUACACUGUAUGUACAUCAUUGUACUUUUCGUGCAUAGAGGUCGAGGUUUUCCAAUUUCGAGUUUCAACAGGACAACCAUAACUGAAUUAGUUUUAUAUAGGUCCAUUUCAGACAUUGGAUCUCGCAUAAAUUAACGAUUGAGUUCCUGCAUAACUCGUAUAUAAAUAUUUUCACUAGAUCGUUUAGAAACAACGUUCGAGAUCUGAAAUGGACCGAGCUCAAAAUUCACUAGCCUGUCUAGUCAUAUACGAUUGUUUUUCUGGCGUAUGAAAAUUACUGCUGCCCCUACAAUUCGUCUUUUGGCGAAAUUUCCUUACGCGUGUUUAUUCGAUAACAUAGGCCAGAAUAAGAAUCGUAUCUUGUAGACAGGCCUUAAGACCGUUUUCCACUUCAACCGUAUCGUAAUAUAUCAUUGCAUUUUCAGUCAUUAGUUGCACUCUAGUGCUCAGGAAAAACAUGGAAAUACGCUAUGUGUUUUGAUGGAAAACGGUUUUAAGGCAAAUAUUAAAUUGGAAUAUCAAUACUGUUAAAUAGAAAUUAUAUUUAUGAAUAGAUUUGCUUCACUGCGAGGCAGUGAAAAUUUAUGCGUACUAUGUCUAUGAAAUUGUUACGAAAUAAAAAAUAAUGUUAAAGUUGUUUGCCUGAUUGUAAUACAUUUUGUGUCCGUUUGCAUCUUGGAAAUCAUGGGCGAGGACACUGCACGUCAUGCACGCUAUCAAACCAAAUGUUUCUAUAAAAAUUAACUGAAAAGUAACUUCUGGAACUGAAUAACGAGAUCUAAUUUAUUAAUAAAUUAUUGUUAUUUUCUGCAUUAUUGGUCUAUGCAGCUUGUGACUUCCGAAUUGAUCUGCACAUUUCAACAUAACCGCUCUUUUAUUCUUGUACUUCAGUGUCUAAGACGCAUGGUAAAAAGAUAUAUUUGCAAUGAAUAUAAAUUCUACCUAAUUAGUUUUCAACUUCUUUGAAGACUAAGGCUGCCUCGUCCCUCGUCGAUUAUGGGGUAACGCUCAUAUCCCAUCCCCCUAGUUUGUGCGCCUACAGUAUAAUGACGCAC
rnacentral:lncRNA from 1 species